ensembl:lncRNA
AAAUGUGCAGAAUUUGUUGAAGAAGAUUUCACAGAAUAGGAUCAAAUAAUAAUAAAUGUCGAUGCAUAUCAUCCAAGUACGUAUUUAAUUCGGGAUCUGUUGGAGGAAAGGAAUACAUAGGGAGCAAAACAAGGUACCCUUCAUAUUUAACAAUACAUUCACUGUCAGAAGAAUUCUUGGAAGAUAAUAGAAGCAACCCUUAACAUAAGUAGGGUAGGAGCUCUGAGAAUCUGUAUAUAUACAUUUCAUAGUAAAGUUUUGGAAGAUGGCGAAUAACUUGUAGAAAACAUACAGAAACAACCUAAAUAGGGAAAAAAAAUCAAAGAUACAAGCAGCUGAGUGACAGCAAAAAAAAAAAUUCAGAUUACAAAAAUUAAAAAGAGGAGGAGAUUACAAGAGAUAAUGAGAUUUAAUCUUUGACCUGAAGAAACAUGGUUGCAUUUUUAACAGACCAUUUUUUUAAGUUACUUCAAUCAGCUCUUCUAAUGUAAGGACAUCUUAGCAGAAAGUUUAUCUGCAAGUUACUGCUUUCACUUUCACUGCCUAGUGUAAACUGCUGCAUCCCUCCUCUCCAGUGACACAUAGCAACAACUGGUGAACGUUAAAGCACAGGCAGUCAAAUACCAUAACUGGGAUUGUUAAAAUGGAAAAACUUAGCUUAUAUGCAGUUGAUAUGGUAUCCAGCUACUGCACAAGCAAGUCAUUAGCACUGUGUUUUAACAAAAUGAGAUUGUAAUUAGGUGCCUUUGAUUCUAAAGCAGAAUGAGUUGCACAUUUCUGGCUGCUUUUCCCAAAGCAUGACAUCAGAGUAAUCAGCCAUAGACUGUCAUUCUUUGCUCACUCCACAUUUUUGCUCCAUUAGUAACUCACAACUACUCCCUGAGCAAGAUGAGAUUCUCAGUCAUCAGUGAGCAAUAAAUAUCUCUGCCAGGCUUGAUAAGAUUUCUCAGACACAUAUAGUACUUUUUGGUUUAUUCCUGUUUUUCAAUUUCACAAGCUGUCUCUCUGUCAAAGUCAGGUCUGGAUCACUGUUGAAUUGUGGUUGCUUGGCCUCAGCAGGAAUUAAGAGUGUUCCUUUGUAGUAACUGUCUUGAAUGGAAUAGCACCAUCAGAAUAGCUUGCUUUCUGUCCACAAUGUGGGCAGACUAUCCAGAGAAUUGCAGCAGCCCCAGUUCCCUCCUGUUGCAGUGACCCCAUGGGUCACUAGCUGCAGACAAAUAGGGGAACCCUCUUUCCUACAUUCGGCUGUGGCCACUGCAGCCUGGCUGAAGGACUGGGAAAUCCUACAGUCCUCAACUUUAGUUUAGUUACCUGUAGUCCUUCUCUUGGGAUCUGAGCAUAGUCUUGUUGGCCCAUAGACUUCACCAAGAACUCUGUGCUUUAAAUAAUUAUAGCAUUGGGUGCAGAAUCUGGAAUUAGACAUCUCAAAAUGGAGAUUUAUGACUACAUUGACCAGCUAUUCCCCAAAAUAUGUGGUAUUACUAGAGGACGUCACAAAUGAUGUGUGAAAUGAGACACCUUUGCAGAUUGGCAGUGCACAAAGAGGAUGAAGAAAAUGACAUGUAAUUAUUACUGUGCUAUUAGCUGUGAUAUUCAACUUACGCAAAGACAGAAAAGUCCAAUAAAGCCAAAAGCUUUAGAUUUGUUUUAAAAAGAAUAAACUGCUUGGAAAUGUCUUUCUCAAAAAUUUCACCAGAACACUCUUCCGGAAGAGAGAAGGGUCCAAAGGAAGAAAGGGAGGCAUUUUAAAUUAUUGGACUCAUUUUAAAGUUUAUUCCCUCCUUUUUCUUUAUUUGAAAAAAUGCAAAUACCUUUCAGACCCAUUAACAUUAAAUACUGGGGGGUGAGAAGGAGAAAGUCUAUGACAAUAUUAAAGUUUUGGGAGGAUUCUGGAUGUACCUCUGUCAACAGAUGCAGUGUUUUUGCAUUUACAGACAGAAAUGAAAAAAAGGUAUGUCUGCCAAAAGGUGGAUUAAGGAUUAGUUAAGAAUAUUUAUUUAAUUUUGUGAAUUUGGGUUUUGUGGCAAAUUAUAAAGAAUAAUGUGAAAGACAAAAUGUUGGCAAAACAUCUUAAAUACAACUGAGGAAAGUGCAUGCACUAGUGUCUGACAUCAAUCCUGUAAGCUUCUCUGAGGUGGUUCCAAUAAAUUCAGAAAGCCCUUACACAUUUUGAGAUAGAUAUGUCAGGAAAAUCAGAAUCCUUCCAGUUCUGAAAGAUGAACAGUAUUAUUUAUCUAUAAAAUGUUUUGUAAUGAAGUUACAUGUGCAGAGAAAAUUGAAGAAUAUUAAUCCUGAGUGUUUUGUCUGCUAUGUGGCAAACAGAUUUUUUUCACCUGUCCACUGGAUGCUUUUCUUCUUUUAGUUUUAUCGAUAAAUGCAUAACAAAAGUUUGUAAAUGCUGCAAGAUAAUUUUAUUAAGAAAAUAAAAAGUUCGCUACAUAUCAUCAAUGUACACAAUUUCAAUCAAGAGCUGGCUAGCAGAUCAUCAAAGGAUACAUUAAAUUGAUAUUGAAUUGUUUCUAAUUGUAUCCAGCAGGCACCUUUACUAGGCCCGGUGCUAUUCAGUAUUCCCAGCAGAGACCCAGAGGUACAAAUUACCGUGCUGAGGAUCCGAGGAUGAUGGAAAGAUUACUCGGUGAGUACGUAAUUAUGAAACCAAGGAAGAGGAGAUCUCUUUAUCAGCUAGAUCCAGUGCAAGAAAUUAGCACCUUAGGAGACAUGAAUACAUAGUUAAAUAUAAUACAAAUGGAUUUCACCCCCCCCAAAAAUGGAGUACAGUGACAUGGAGUGCCUCAACUCUACAAGGAUUUAGGGGCCAUAGCGGACCAGCAACCCAACACGAGCUCCCACCAUGAAGCUGCAUAAGCAGAGAAUGUAAUCCUUGAAUCCUGAUGCAAUUGUUGGAAUAAUUCCCAGAGAUCUGUUGUCCAUAUUUUAAUGAGAAUGGUGGGGAAAAAAUGGCGACUUCACAAAAUAGCAUUUAAAAUUAAUUUGAGAGCAGAAGAAAAUUAUUGCUGUGAAAGCAUAAACUCUUUGAUAAAGACAUAACUUAAUGUCUUUGAGAAAGGAGGGCUGAGUAUGACUUGAUUAAAAUUUAUAGAUCAUAGGAGAAAAGCCUCACACACAGAUUCUUUAUCCUGAAGGGGAUCAUAACAACCACCCAACCACUUCCACCAUCACCCCAAAUAAACAAAUAAAUACAUAAAUAAAUAAACAACACUGAAAAAUCAGAAACAAAAUCAUUUUUUGCUUAUGAAAAUAAGUAUGAACUAUAUUGCCCAAAAAUGAGAAAUCAUGCCUACUGGCAUAUCUUCAAAUCAUGAUACAAUUUAAAAUUUCACCAUAAAUUACCUAUUCCUUAGUUAAAUGAUAAUUUAAUUGGACUUGAUACCAAAUUAUUAAAUUGAUAACAUUUAAAGGUCUUCAACAUACCCACAAACUAGCUGAGUUUGGAUUUCAGAAAUCCAAAACACAAUAGAAGAAAAAAUAAAAUACAAAUAAAUUAAAAUUAUCUAUUCAAAAUUACACUGUCUGAAGAUCUGUGGUCUGACUUGAGACUUUUUUUAUAAUCCUAAGUGAGGACUCUAAACCAUAUGCUCCACUGUGGUAUGUAUUGCACAACUAUGGAAAAUGUCUUAAUGUAGGUAUUUUUCAUUCACAUAAAAUUGUCUGUAAGAAUUUAUAUCCCAGCUGGUAUGAUGUUAUACAGAAACAAUAUCAUGUGUUGUUCUGCAAGUUGUGCAUAUGUUUAGUUUCUGAGGCCAAAAAUCAGGAUGUGGUUUGAAGAAAAGUGGGAGGAGUCAACUAGUAAAAGUGUUAUACCAUAUGACAACCUCAAAAAAAAGAGUAUAUCAGUUGGGAAAAUAUAUAGCAGAAGCAGAGGCUGCCUUUACUGCAAUAACCAGUGAUCUGCUGUGCACAUGUGCACAUUCUCAUACCACUCAUAUAGUUUAAAAGUAUAGCAUUGCAACCUGAUUUUGCAGUUGGAACAUCUGUAACAAUACAGAAAAAAAUCACUUUUUUGUGAUGCAAUCUGCUACUUUUUGCCAGCAUUAUUUACUCUGAAUUUCAGUAUAUUAGAUAUAUACCAAAUUAUUAAUACUUUUUUAUUAGAUAUUAGAUAUCUAUUACUGUUAUUAGUUUUAUUAUCAUUAUUAUUACUUAUCAUAUGGCUUUCAUAUCUAAGACAGGAGACAGUGUGGUUAUGUCCCACUGUAGAGAAGUACACUUGUAGGCUUGCUGCUGAUCUAGUGAGGCUUCUGAGUAAUUUCCUGCUAAAAGGUAAUGGUCUGCAAGUCAACUCAGUGGUUUUUAAGGGUACAAGGAUGAUAGCAGUCAUGAUUUGGAAAGUGCCCAACCUGUAAAAUAUUUAACAUGCCUCAUCCUCAGGUGAGUCACACAUCUUCUUAAGUCCAAAAAUGUUUUACUGACAGACCUAAUAGAACCAAUUGGAAACAUUUUUUUUUUUGAUCCUUACAUUAACAUACUAGGUCUCCUUGUGUAUUUAACUUGGGUUAGAGAUUCACAGUGCAGUGAAAGUAAACAGCUUCCAUCUCAGAGCACACAUAACACAUUAAUUAAAAACAAAUCUUCAAAAGCAGUUUAUGUACAUCUACUCUUGAUACAUAAGCCUGUUGAAAUUGUAGGGAAAACAGCCUUUUUGAGGAAAUCACAGGAUUUGUAGCUCCCUGACUGUUUUCUGUAUUCAUUUUUUAAAGUGUGUUGAAAUUUUCAGGUUCCAUAUGGACACAUUUAGUCACCUAAAUUUGUCUAUUAGGUUCAAUAAGGGUUUUAGUAAUUAUUUUUUUAAUUAUAUGUUUUCUGACUGUAUGAUUGAUGAAAAUAAAUAAUCACCAGAUGGAAUGAAGUUCUGCUGCUUGAACUUAUGCAAGUAAUGCAGUUAAAGUAACUUGAAAUAACAACAUGCACAAAUUAGUCAUUUUCAAAAUUAAAACAUAAGCCCUAAAGAUGUUUCUAUUUAUUUAAAUCACUCUGGAUUUAAUUAAAGACAGAUAACAAAUUGUUAUCAAAGGUUAAUCUAUUUUUGAGCCUUUAAUUCACCAACAAGUAUAACACAUCCAUUUUUAUCAUACAGUAAUUAUGGUAGAGUAGAUACAUUAUCAGGCUCUAUUAUAGUAGAGCCUGAUACAUUUGGUGGCAUCUUGUGAGUGUGUCAGUGAUAAGUGACAAGCAUUUCAUACACCUGUGCUUCACCUGUGAGCUGGCACUUACCACUGGCAAAAUUUCAGGUGACAGACACUAUUGUCCCUUCACUGAUAACCUAAAGAGAAAAAUGUUGCAUUCUUUCUUUUGAUACUAUGAUAAAAAAAUCGUAAUUCUGUAUCUGCUUUGUUAAUUGCCUUUCCUACCCUUAAAUGGUGAAAGUUUCAGACAGGAGUCAAAUUAUGGGGCUUCUUAUGUCUCUAGCCUUAUAAACUUGGGCCCUUGCUCCAGGCCAGAACGCAUUUCAAGACUGUUUGCAAGAGCACGGAGCUACACUUGGGGUCAAGGUAUAGGAUAUGCCAGAGGACAAAUCUGCACAGUCCCAUUGCAUCACUCUGUGGUGACAACCAGCCACACUAGAGCAGAGCUAAAGGCUGGCAACAUGGGGCAGGGGUCAGGAGACACCACCCUAGGCAUACUCCUUGCC